GGACGAACGCUGGCGGUAUGCUUAACACAUGCAAGUCGAACGAGAAGGAAGAGCUUGCUCUUCCUGAAAGUGGCGAACGGGUGAGUAACGCGUGGGUAACCUACCCUUUGGAAAGGAAUAGCCUCGGGAAACUGGGAGUAAUGCCUUAUAAGAUACGUUUGUCGCAUGGCAUUUGUAUUAAACGCUCCGGCGCCAUAGGAUGGACCCGCGUCCCAUUAGCUAGUUGGUGAGAUAACAGCUCACCAAGGCCACGAUGGGUAACCGGUCUGAGAGGGCGAACGGUCACACUGGAACUGAGACACGGUCCAGACUCCUACGGGAGGCAGCAGUGGGGAAUAUUGCGCAAUGGGGGCAACCCUGACGCAGCAAUACCGCGUGAGUGAAGAAGGUUUUCGGAUCGUAAAGCUCUGUUAUUGGGGAAGAAAAAAAGACGGUACCCAAGAAGAAAGUUCCGGCUAACUACGUGCCAGCAGCCGCGGUAAUACGUAGGGAACAAGCGUUGUCCGGAUUUACUGGGCGUAAAGGGCACGCAGGCGGUUUUUUAAGUCAGAUGUGAAAGGCCACAGCUCAACUGUGGACAUGCAUUUGAAACUGAAAGACUUGAGUAUUGGAGAGGCAAGUGGAAUUCCUAGUGUAGCGGUGAAAUGCGUAGAUAUUAGGAGGAACGCCGGUGGCGAAGGCGGCUUGCUGGACAAAUACUGACGCUGA
rnacentral:rRNA from 1 species